rnacentral:rRNA from 1 species
AGCUUUACCCGCCGCUUUCAAGCGAGCGGGGGCCAAGCCGGUUCUGCCGGGGUGCUCUUGACCGAGUGUCCCGCGCGGCCGGCCGGUUCACCUUGAACAAAUGAGAGUGCUCAAAGCAGGCUACUCUUGACACUAAAGCCCGAAUGUUAACUGCAUGGAAUGAUGGAAGAUGAUCUCGGUUCCAUUUUGCUGAGUGGUGGGAAUCCGAGUUAAUGAUAAACAGGGACUGUCGGGGGCAUCCGUACUACGACGCGAGAGGUGAAAUUCAGUGACCGUCGUAGGACGAACAACAGCGAAAGCAUUUGCCAAGAAUGUCUUCGUUGAUCAAGAACGAAAGUUAGAGGAUCGAAGGCGAUCAGAUACCGCCCUAGUUCUAACCCUAAACGAUGCUGACCAGCUAUUCGCCGUCGUUAUUCCCAUGACGUGGCGAGACGCCCCCGGGAAACCUCGAGUCUUUGAGUUCCGGGGGUAGUAUGGUUGCAAAACUGAAACUUAAAGGAAUUGACGGAAGGGCACCACCAGGAGUGGAGCCUGCGGCUUAAUUUGACUCAACACGGGGAACCUCACCAGGCCCGGACACCAGAAGGAUUGACAGAUUAAGAGCUCUUUCUCAAUUUGGUGGGUGGUGGUGCAUGGCCGUUCUUAGUUGGUGGAGUGAUUUGUCUGGUUAAUUCCGGUAACGAACGAGACUCUGGCCUACUAACUAGUGGGUGGGUGUUCCGGUAAGGGGCCCCACCCGACAAUGUCUUCUUAGAGGGAUGAGCAGCGAGUAUAGCUGCAGGAGAUUGAGCAAUAACAGGUCUGUGAUGCCCUUAGAA